ACUAUAUCUAGUGUUCAAGGUUCCCCUGACUCGCAAGGGUCGGGGGCUAAGACGGGAAUACGGUGCGCAAGGCCAUUCUGGCCAAGCAAUGCCGGAGCUGCCCCCGCAACUGUAAGCGGCGAGCGUCUGUCCCAUUUCAAGUCACUGAAGCAUGAUGCUUCGGGAAGACGGGACAGAAGCAACGACCCGCAAGCCAGGAGACCUGCCUUGAGCGAAAACGUCCA
rnacentral:ncRNA from 1 species